CCUGGGUGACAGAGCAAGACUCCAUCUCAAAAAACACCAAAACAAAACAUGAAGUUCAAGGAGAGAGGCAGCCUUUUACAUUUCAUAGAGCAAAAACUUGCCCUGAUUUGUCAAUAUUUGAUUUCCCCUAGUGCUCACCCCACAGUGCCCAUGGCUUCCUCUGUUUAAAACAGCAGAUUUACUAAUGCAAAUGAUUAUUUUAAGAAUUAAUUCUUGAUUUCUAAAAACAGAUUUUUCAUACCCCAAUAACCCUAUGAAGAUCAGCCUUUUAGCCCCAUCAUCCUGAUAGGAAGUUUAAAGAGUCUCACUCUGAGAAACAAAGAGUCACGGAGCUCAGUUGAUAUACAUUUGGGGAAGCAUGGAGUUGCCUUUAAGUCCUCUUCUAGGCAGUGAGGUUUAAAACAAACACAUACAAAACAAAACAAAACAAAAAGGCAAGGGCAAUGAGAGAGUUGACUGCAGAGGAAAGAACAAAGACAAAAAACAAGCAAGCAAACAAACAAUAAAUAAAAGCUUUAAAAAUAAAAAGUGCUGCAUUAUCUGGGGUCAGAUCUAUACUCCUGAACAAGCUGGGGCACGUCACUCUAGCUCAGCACAGAACAAUGUUGGUGCUCCUCAUACUGGCUCUGAGUAAAAUAGGUUAGAAACUGCCAAAAGGAGUGCUAAUAUUUCCAGAAAUAAGCCCAGAUUUUCUGGGAAUUUACUCAUGUAGAGCACCAUGUUCUCUAAGGGGCCACAUACACAUAUGGCUGCUUUUAAAACAUCUCAAGUCUUUAUGUACAGGGCCACAUACAACAUGCAGAUAGGGCACAGGGAGGAAAACAAAAUAUCUCCCAAGUGGAUGAUACCUAGUAUUUAUAUAAUAAUUUGUCCAGUGCUUCUGAUACAGGAGGAUACCCAGAUCUAGGCCUUAAGAGCUGGGAUCCCUAGUUAAUUUGGCAGCUUUUCCUCUGUAUCUAGCACGCAUAUAGCCAUGUUCCAUCCAUUCUACUCCCCUAGAAAUAUUUCUUCCAUGGAAGCAUGCAGAAAGACUAUGUCAAAAUGGAAAGAUAAUUUACAAAUUGUUUAAUGCACCUCCUCCCUCUUUUUCUAGGAAAGGCAAACGGAACUUACAAAAGUGAAAUGACUAGUUCAAGAUGACAAGAAAGGUUAAUUACAAAAUCUAUCCUAGCAACUCUAAUUUAUGGUUAUUGUUACUAGGCCUUUCUUAUUUCAUGUGAUGUCCAUGUCUGAAAUAACCUUACUAUGAAAAGACUUGUGGAACUAGUAACUCCACUAGGUAUUAUAGUGUCAGUCACAGAAUUAGGCCACCUUAUUAGUACCUGCUCACUAGAACAUUCUGCCCUCUAUAUGAGAAGGCUUUCUGAAAAGGUUGGCAUAAAUGCACUUUUGAUUAUUUAGAUUCUGUUUUGCAUGUAUUCAGGGAUCUCUCUGGUGCACCUCUGAAAAGACUCCAGAAUAAACUUUUUUGUGUAUGAAGCAACGAAGCCUGCUACAGGAAAUAUUUGCUGCCUGAUUAAUUCUUUUGACAGCUCUAACUGUGCUUAUCUUCAGGCUGGCAUAUCCAUAUCGCCUCAUCAUCUGGUUUGUUUUGGUCAUUGAUUAAUUCACUUUGCUGCAAGAGUUGCACAAAUUAAGGCUCCAUAAGGGCAGGGAUAUUUGCCUGUUUAGUUUAACCCUGAAUGCCUGAUACUUAGACUAGGGCUUGGAAUAUAGGAGGUGUAAAAUAGGUAUUUACUGGCUGAAUAAGUAAAUUGAUGUUUAAGAAGAGAAUUCCUGGCCUUAUCUCACCUCACUUGUGUCCACCUUCACAGAUGCUCCUCCUGUGAAGAGUGUGGCUGCACUGCUGCAAACCGUCCCUUCCCUGCCACACUGGCACGGGUGGCCGCUGCCACCUACAACAGCCCAGACUUUGCCAUCUCCUCCUUGUGAAGCGUGAACAAGCAGACCUCCGGCCUGAUGCGUCACAUCCCUCCUCCCGUGGCUCUCCAUCUUCCAUCGUUGUUCAUGGGACUGUCUUCUAAGCCUCCUCAGAGACCAAGAUGGAUUUCCAGACUGGAUGUGUUGGUGGGAAUACUACCCAGUGAUCGGGGAAGAACCACAUACCCUUCCAACCUUGCAUCAGCAAUCCCAUGAGGCUCCCCAUGAGUCACUGCCAGCGGCCCAGACUCAGCUGUGUGGAGUCUCAGACCCUGGGGCAAAACAAGCUAAGUGCAUGGAUCUUUCCUGUCUGUGUUCUCAGUGACUCACCCAAAACGGAUAAUGACAGUGAGGCUGGGUGCACCGUGUGACUGGUGCCAGCCAGAACAGGUCAUGCUGUUAACCCUUGGAUUCCCAGGCCACCAACUGCUGACUCCCAGGCCCUAUGGCAGGACCAUGACACACUUGAGUUAUGUCUCCUUCCUUUCUCUCUGGGAUCCUUGGUCAAGUUCCAGCUUUGGAAAUAUGACCUUCCCUUGUAAAGGAUCUCAAACUUGGGGUGGUUACUGAUAGUGACUGAACCAAUAACUACUACCCGGGAGGGGCCCAUUGUCCUAAAACACCACCAGAUCACAAGUGGCGUUUUCACUCAUCAAAUUGGCUGUUCUUCAGUUUGCCAAGGUGCAGGUGCUGACUUCUUUCCCAGUUCUUUCCCCAUCAGUUGGGUUAUUCCCAAAGUCUGGGGGAAGAAAGAGAAAGGAGAAAUUUAAGAAUGGAAGAGAUGAUUUCUCCCAUCUCAGGCAAGCAGACUGUGCGCUCACUGAGUAUCUUAAGUAUUUGUGGCCAGGGUCCUAGGCAGGACCCAUAACAUGUCAGCAUGUGACUUAAAGGCUUGGUGACAGAACAAGGAUCCACCCAGCUCAGCUGCCCUGCCAGCGUGUCCUCAUUGCCUCGCCAGCUUCAGAUCACUCCCCAGGGAUGCUGCAUUAAUUAUGAAAACCUCUGGUCAAGGCUGAAAGCCUGCAGGAUAUGUUCUGUUACCUCAUCACUUACAUGCGAUAGUCCAGAGGUCUCUAAGACUCUCCAAAAUAUUAUGAUGAUGCAACAUUUACCCCAUAAUAUGUGAUAGAGCUUAACUCAAAAUUUAAGUGAUCCUUUGCUGGCCCUUAAUGAGGUUAAAGUAAAAAAAAAAAAAAAAAAAUGAGCGGAGGCUGAGCAGUGAUUCAAGUGCUGUGAGCUGCUGAUUCUUCAAGUUACACGUUACUCCAGGUCUUGGGGCAGUGGGUAUGUGUGUGUGUGUGUGUGUGUGUGUGUGUGUGUGUGUGAGAGAGAGAGAGAGAGAGAGAGAGAGUGGGAGACUGGGCGGGAGACUGGAGUAGGGAAAGGGAUGGGACGUGUUGCUAUGGAGAGAGAGCGGUGAAACACGCAGUAUGACCGAGAAGACAAUCAUGUGGUCAGAUGGUCGAGGAGCUGAGUCUCAGCUCUGACAUUCCACCCAGGUGGCUUUAGCAAUUUGUGAGUCUUCUCUCCUUCACCUAUAAAGUGCGAUAAUGAAGGUAAAUUUGCUAAGUGAGGAGAUAAUAUGUGUAACUGCCUAGGAGAGUCCUCAUCACAUAGCAGAUCAUCAGUAAAGGUCCAAAGCAAUGACUGACAACUAGGUGGGAAGUGAAUGAGCAAGCCAGGCCAGAAAAUUUUAUGAACAAUGAAAUCUGCAGCUCAAAGUUCCAUGUAUUUCUCAAUAGGAAAACAUCUGUAUCCCAUUUGAUGGUGCACAAACACUUUCACUUAUGUUACCUCAUUCUUCCUUUCAGAAACCCUCUGAGGAAGUUAUUGUAGUGAUGAGGAAACCGAGGCCCAAGGCCACACAGCUGGCAAGCCUGGAACUGGACCCCAAGUCCUAUGCAUCCUUAUGAUCCUUAUGCUACCCCAUGAGGGAGCAGCUGCAAAUCAUGAACACUUGUCUAUCAUGCAGCAUUUGUCCUGGCCCCCUCCGGACCGUGUGCCUUUUCUGGUGUUACCUGUCUCUCCUGUCCUUGCCAUAGGUUACCCAGACUUGGUAUCAGUCACCAAUGUGUCUGCGUAAGAAAAAGUUUAAAUCAAUAGUGUGUGGCAAAUGUUGCAAAACUGUUUUCACAGAAAAUAAAAUAUUUGUUUAGAUACAAGUUAAUGCUUCCCAGGAUUAGCAGCAGUUAAAAUUCUAGGAGACCACAGUCUGUUUUCCCCAAGCAGGACACUGAUAAUGAUCACUGGGAAGAAGCUCCUGGGCUACAGCCCAACUUGAAAACUGCAAAAUCACAACAGCAGAAUUCCUGGGGUUUGUACUAUAAUUCUGGAUAUAUUUACUUGCCAUAUUUUUUACACUUAAUCCAGUCUUUUUCUCUUUCUCUCUCGUACACUGGCAUUUUUCUUCUUAAUACUAUUUGAGGUGAGAAAAGUUGUAAGAAAAUAAAGUUGGAGUCUUGGUUCUUCCCAUCCUUAAAUGUGUAAUAAUAACAACAAUAAAAAUAACAACACUAAUAACAACAGCAACACUAAUAGCCAUAGCAACACCAACAAUCGAUAAAAGACUCUAGGCAAUGAUUGAAGUGAUAAUAUUGCAGAGAUAAGCCAGUAUGCAAACACCAACUAUAAGAAGAAAAAAACUGAGGAGAAUAAAAUACAAACCAAUCCAUAAAGUAAAUUAGACAUUGAUUUUUAGAAUACCCUUUACUUUCAAGUUUUGAUUUCAGGCCUUGGUUAUUUUUACUCCGUUUUAGAUAAAAGACACCUUUUUAUCUAUUUUAGAUAAAAUUCUGGAUUUGAGAUGAGUGAGAAAAGGAAAACAGAUUUACGCACACACAAACACACACAAACACACAGUCCUUAACUCUGCUCAUCUCCAUCCCUAACCACAUCUACCUCACAAGGCUGGUGGUGUCAAUUCUUUUUCUUUUUUUUUUUUUUUACAUAAAUACAAAGACUGUGCAUAGAUCCUGGGCUGUAGAGCACCACAAGAACCCCCACUCAUGCAGCUUGGAGGGGCCUGGAGCCUGAGAAGCAGGGAGAUCGGAGACUGGAAGAAAAGGCAACCAAUGAAGAAAGGAAGGUAGUUCAGAUGAUUUUUUAAAAUUGCACACUCACUAACUCCUCCAGAAGAAGAGAAAGUAGAGUGAGAAGCCUGGGGCUCAGGAAGGAGAAGAAAGAGAAAAACCUCCCAACCAGCAAAUGCAUAUAUUUCUCCCCUUUUUGUUCUUUUCUAAAUCUGGUUGCAGUAAAGAAAGCCCAAGGUAUAGUUACUAAGACGUAAGAUAUGACCCAAAUGUGGAAAUCUUCCCUUCAUCAAAAACCAGGUAAGCAUAAUAAUAAUAAAAAACAAAGCACUUAGAGGUUAUGGGAAGAAAGUAUUUCUGCUUUCAAAACUAUGAUUGAAGAACUUUAUUUGAAAAACAGAGCUUUUUAAUUAUACUUUGUUUAUGACAUUUGAUUUAUUAUACUUUAUUAUACAUAUUAUACUUAUGCUAGAUUGCAGGCAGUCAGAGCCAGUGUCCCCCGCAAUCCUGAACGCAAACUAUGUUCACAUUGAAAGCAUUACACACCAUGGAUACGCAGACACACAUACACACAUGUAUACACACAUACAUCCAGCCAUUCUUUGAAAUCCAGCUCUUAUCGCUCCACAUCCUUUUUGAACACUUCCUGGGUUUUCAGCCUAUGUCACAAUGAGAAUUGUACCAUGUUAUUUGAUUAUUUGUGAGUCAGUUACUUCUCUGGACUUAUUAUAGAUUCUGAGCACCUCGAAGGCAAAAAUCCCUUUGCACUCCUUGUCUCGCCUUUCUGUCUACUUCCCUCUACUCAUCGUUACACAAGUUGAGAACCUCGUGUGUGAUGUAAUUGCUUUGUAAUUGUACAGGCUAUAAUAGAGACAUCAGCACUUAGCUUCAUCUUCCUCUGACAGUAGGCAAACUCUGUGACAAGUUCUUUUACUACCUUUUUAUUUUUAUUUUUGUUUUACCAAAUGCAUCUCCUUAAAGGCAGUCCUUCAGGAUACUUCAAAGAAAUCCCUGAGUACAAUUUACAAAAGUUUGCACCCUGCCCACCCUCACCCACCAAUGCGACACAACCCAGCAAAUGCAACUUCUCCCCAAGUAUUAACACUCAGAGAAGACAGGGAUGGGAUUUAAUUCUCCCUUCAGUCAUCUGGGGUGGAGAUCUGGCCCCUGUGGCUUUCAUGGUGACUGCCACCUGCAACCUAACCAUGAGGGGCACAUAGGAGAGGGUGGCUUUUUUGGGGGGAGGCCACUGUUCAAAAGCCUCCGCUAUACCCUUUGUGUCUCUGCUGUGUUGCCUGCCAGCAGCAAUGUCUGAUGCCUCCAUUUGGCAGCCACAGGCUGUGAGGUCAUCUUUUCACCACUUGCUAUUUCCUUCAGCAUUUAAACUCUCUGGCAGUGACUCAGUGUUUACAAUCACAUUAACCUGUGAGGAACGCCGUGGCUGUGUCGAAGAACAAGGCCCUUGCUGGCACCAAGGUAAGUGUGGACAUGUUCUUGGGAAGAGGAGAGGGGAGGGGGCAGGGAGCCAGGCGCAGUGUGGUGGGAUACCUGUGUGUGGGGAGCUCUCUUCCGUUCUUGGCAGGACAUCCAGUUCUGAAAGAAGGCGAAUGACCCGUCAUGCUCAGUCUAGUUUGUGCUGAUGCUUGGAGAAGAAUGACCCAUUGCUGUCUUGUUCACAGGCCAGAGUGAGCAAAUCCCCCAUGCAGCCAAUACAUAUGCGUAAGGCAGGCGCAAUGACAUCCAUGCAAGAGGAGCAUCUCGGGUAACGUUACCCCUUAGGGGCCCAAAUAAAAUAUACAUGCUGAAAAUCAAUCUCUCUCCUCGAGUGGGAAAAAGCAAGAGAAAGUGCUUUCUGCUGUGGAGGUGAAGACAUACGGGAAGGAUAGGCCUGAACAACUACAAGGAGUCCUUCGAACUCCAGAGAUGGAUGGUUGUCAGCAAAAUGUUCUAACAGUUUCUAAGUACAGUGAGCUCACAAAUUUAAUUCCCAACAUGACUCAAACGUGCACGCACAUGAGACACACUCUUCGGUUCGUCUAUAAAAACGAUGGUUUGUUUCCUGAGGGUUCACCGACUGGUUGGAGUGGGGGAAUAAUUUAGAGCCCCACCAAUUUCAAGCCUAGUUGCAUCUGAUCAUUUAAACAGCCUGUUUAGUGAAUGUUUAGCCAAGGUCAAAUGCUGGGCUUUCACAUACCUCUGCCUUCUGCCUCCCUUCCAGGGAGGUGGUAUCUUUAGAACUGGUAUCUAGGUAAAUGAUGCUACCUUGUGGGAGAGGGGAGGACUAUGGGUCCUCCAGCUUCUUUGGUUCCUAGACAACUCUAGGUCUAGAUGGUUGCUCACUCUGCUGUCAUUUGUGCACAUGUAUUAGGCUGAAGUUAUUCAGUCAGCCCCUAGGGACUAUUUUUGGGCCCUGACUAUGAUACAUAGCAACCAAGGAUAGCACCAGAAAUCUAAGCUUCAAGGCUUCCAGCAACCAGACCAUGCAGUAUACCCACGCUGACUUUGAUGGGCCUGCACCCAGGGAAGGAUGAAUCUGCCUUCUCUCAGGGUGUGUAUAGGGAGUGAACCAAGAGCCUCCCAAUCUUAAACAUUCUAGAGUGCAAGUUUAAUUCUAAAGGUGAAAACUCAGAGUGACAAUGUGAUCAUCUAGUCCAAUGGUAUUUGAAUAAAAUUUAGUAGACACUUUACAAAAAUUGAAUUUGGAAGCCAGUAUGACAGAUAAAAGUAGUUUCCUUUCUAUUUAUCAAGACCUAUAGGGAGGGAUGAGAACUUUACCCAAUGUGAGCUCCAGGGCUUCACAGAUAUUUUUCCAUGGAAAUUUCCCAUCUUUUCCAAACUCAUUAUCUCCUAGAUGAAGAAGCUAGGACAUAAUUAAUUGAAGUAAAUUGUCACAGACAUUGCAAAUGGGAGACCCUAGACCCAAAAUUUUUUCCCAGACUUUCUACUACAUUAUUCAUUUAACGUCCCCCAAAGUUUAACUUGAUCACGAGGACUAGAUGCUGCUAAUAAUGUUCAGUUGCAAACCCACAUUUUGAUGCCCCCAAAGUCAAUGGCUUCUAUUGGCAAAAAAA